AUACGUAGGUGGCAAGCGUUGUCCGGAAUUAUUGGGCGUAAAGCGCGCGCAGGCGGUCCUUUAAGUCUGAUGUGAAAGCCCACGGCUCAACCGAGGCGGGUCAUUGGAAACUGGGGGACUUGAGUGCAGAAGAGGAAAGUGGAAUUCCAAGUGUAGCGGUGAAAUGCGUAGAGAUUUGGAGGAACACCAGUGGCGAAGGCGACUUUCUGGUCUGUAACUGACGCUGAGGCGCGAAAGCGUGGGGAGCAAACAGGAUUAGAUACCCUGGUAGUCCACGCCGUAAACGAUGAGUGCUAAGUGUUAGGGGGUUUCCGCCCCUUAGUGCUGCAGCUAACGCAUUAAGCACUCCGCCUGGGGAGUACGGUCGCAAGACUGAAACUCAAAGGAAUCGGCGGGG
rnacentral:rRNA from 1 species